AAUUUAUUCUUUCUCAUAUCUAAAAAAUUAAAUAAGUUAAAAACCCCCCAAAAAUGUAAUAUUCUCGUAGCUACGCAUAAAGCAUAGCAUAGGUUCGUAGCAGGUAGUUGAAAACAUU